rnacentral:misc_RNA from 1 species
GACGGAGGGUGCUAGCGUUGUUCGGAAUCACUGGGCGUAAAGGGCGCGUAGGCGGCUCAUGCAGUCGGCUUUGUGAAAGCCCGGGGCUUAACCCCGGAGGUGCGGCCGAUACUCAUGGGCUCGAGUCCGGAAGAGGAGGGUGGAAUACCCAGUAUAGGGGUGAAAUUCGUAGAUAUUGGGUGGAACACCGGUGGCGAAAGCGGCUCUCUGGUCCGGCACUGACGCUGAGGCGCGAAAGCGUGGGGAGCAAACAGG